rnacentral:rRNA from 1 species
CUACGGGUGGCUGCAGUGGGGAAUAUUGCACAAUGGGCGCAAGCCUGAUGCAGCCAUGCCGCGUGUGUGAAGAAGGCCUUCGGGUUGUAAAGCACUUUCAGCGGGGAGGAAGGCGUUAAGGUUAAUAACCUUGGCGAUUGACGUUACCCGCAGAAGAAGCACCGGCUAACUCCGUGCCAGCAGCCGCGGUAAUACGGAGGGUGCAAGCGUUAAUCGGAAUUACUGGGCGUAAAGCGCACGCAGGCGGGCUGUCAAGUCGGAUGUGAAAUCCCCGGGCUCAACCUGGGAACUGCAUUCGAAACUGGCAGGCUAGAGUCUUGUAGAGGGGGGUAGAAUUCCAGGUGUAGCGGUGAAAUGCGUAGAGAUCUGGAGGAAUACCGGUGGCGAAGGCGGCCCCCUGGACAAAGACUGACGCUCAGGUGCGAAAGCGUGGGGAGCAAACAGGAUUAGAUACCCCGGUAGUC